rfam:Picea glauca, whole genome shotgun sequence.
AGCCGUGUGGUCGACAUAAAGUGAAUUCUGCUUUCACCUUUUACUAAAGAAUACCGUGUGUCGGCCACUAUUAACGGCAUACACCAAUUUUUGGAAGCCUCUAGCUCAUUUUGAGGCA